UGUGAAAACCAGAGAUAAUCUUUUUAUGAGCAACUGGAGAUUCUACAUUCAAUUCAAUUAAAAAUACUUUAUUCAACCCAAAGGGAAAUUAAAUGUUGUUAUAGCUCAUAUUAUGUAGGUUUCUUCAAAGAGCCGUUGUAGAUGCAGAUGGCUGUGGGGAGGAAGGGUCUCCUGUAGCGGUCCGUCUUACAGCAGAUCUGAAGAAGCCUCUGACUGAAGGCACCUUUGUUGUAGGACAGUCUCAUGAAGAGGAUGCUCAGGAUUCUCCAUAAUGUUCUUGAUUUUAUGAAGAAUCCUUCUUUGCUCAGGGAUCUCCAGAGGUUCCAGUGUUAACUUGAUCACACCGGUGAUCUGCACUUUAACGGUUGCCAUUACAAAACACAACUGGACCACAAACAUCGCACAAGAAUGCCCCCCCGGUCCUGCUUUCCCACCUCCACAUCUCUUCACACUCCAUCCAUCCAUAUCUUUCAACUGCCAUUCACCUUCACCGAGGGUUAUGAGCAAUCCAAUUGCAGAUGUCUCCACUUUUGUUAAGCAAUUAGCAAGCUUCCCUUUGAUUUUGUAGGCUUGACGGCAUCAGGAAGGGAAUGGUUGUCCGUUGGCCUGUUAAAGGAGCCUCCUGUUGUGGUGCUCUGGUGGGAUCCAUAGGAAUCGGCUGUAGGUUUUUUAUGUAUGUACGUUGCUUUUAUUUCAUGCUGCAGAGAGUGAACCUCCAUUUCAAUGUAGUUAAAGCUGUUAUAUUCUUCUCGUCCAUCUUGAAAAUCGGCUUUUAGUUUGGGGAUAACAGCUGAAGAGAACAGGUCUGAACCACCCAUACAAAGUCAUCUACAUGACAUGCAAGGACUCCUGUCACCUUACAGAAAUCAUCGAGCCAGUAGAAGACAUCUGGAUCAACCUUUGACACAGUGCCCCCCAGGUCCUGCAUAGUUUCUUUCACCUUGUACCAGAACAAUAAGGCAUCUGCCAAGCCAUAAACACAUUUCUUUAGCUUCCAUACUCACUCUCUGGCUCUUGCGGUGGAAGGAUAUUUACAUCUGGUGUUGAAUCUUUACCUUGUAAAAAGGCUCCCUUUUAAUGUCCAUAGAGUUUAAUUUUCCAUUUAUUUUGACAUAUGACUGCAAUAACCAUCUACAGGGAUUCUGAGGAGCAUGUGGGUGAGUCUUUAGGAAGUUCUUGAGUGUUAAUUUCUUCAAGGCCUCUUGCAACAAGUUUAGGUUUGGGUACACUGCCCGCCUGUGUCUUCUUAAGAAUACACACCCACCUUGUUGAUACGCAUUUCUGAUGUUCAUCUUUCUCCUCUUUAAAUACAUUGUUUUUUUCCAUUUGUCAAGUUCUGUUUUUUUGUCUUGUAAGAAAAUAUCCUCCUCCACCACUAGUAUUUCAUCCCUGUUGUUAGUGUAUGACUUGUCGUUUUCAGAUGCUGUCACUUCAAGGUUGUUUACUUGUCCCAUAUCAACUGAUCCUGUGGAUCCAGCAAUUUCCUCUAGCCCACUGU